UAAUACAGAGGUAGCGAACGUUGUCCGGAUUUACUGGGCGUAAAGGGCUUGUAGGUGGCCGGUUAAGUCAGAUGUGAAAUCGUACCGCUUAACGGUACAAUGGCAUUUGAUACUGACUGGCUUGAGUGCAGGAUGGGAAAAUAGAAUUUCCGGUGUAGCGGUGAAAUGCGUAGAUAUCGGAAAGAAUACCAGUGGCGAAGGCGGUUUUCUGGUCUGCAACUGACACUGAGGAGCGAAAGCCAGGGGAGCAAACGGG
rnacentral:rRNA from 1 species